CCGUUUUAUAAAGAUAAAGGUAUUUGAUCGAAAUGAAAUGUUUUGAAAAGACAUAAUUGUGCCCGGACACGAAUCAUAAAAACAUCGCAUUGACACGAAUAGAAUUGCAUCACUACAUCCAUAUUGCAUUCACUAAUAGGACAUGCAUCAUAUACAUUGUGUAUGUCUUGAAAAAAAAAGGGAGUGUCAUUUCAACUCUUGUGAUGAGAGAAGUCAUCACACCGGCGCACAAUUAUGACAUGAUUUGAGAAAUGAAAAGUAUUGUGAUUUUAAACGGAUGAGUUUUCCAACGUAAGUAAGCUCAGACAGGGACUCUGUAUAUAGAGGCAUAGGACAAGACUGAUCAUCUUGUUAGGCCUAUCUGAGAACAUACGUAUGUAGAACGGCGAAUAGUAUAACGCGAUAUGAAAUGUAUCAAGAUUUGAAUUGCAAAUCUUUAAAGAAGUCUCGUAUGUUGAAUACGAAGACGUCGACGCUACUUUACACGUUUGUAAAGUAAUAGAAACCACGUUUAAAGUAAGAACGAGAGUACCUCGAGAAUGAGGGAAUCGAACAUAGAAAUUAGUUACAAAAGAGGCGUGAACCCACGUGCAAGAAGAUAUUAUUGUAGUCGAUUGAAGAAAGAGGGGUUGACUCAUAAUGAUUAUAAAUCAAGGGUCAAGAAAUUGUUAGAAUUGUAUGUAUAAGGAGUUACUCGAUAAGUAUAUCGAGGUACUUUCAUCUAAGGAUGAUAAUAGAUGGGAGACCGUAUAAACCUAACUGCAAAGUCAACAGUUAGUGAAUGAUUAAUUAUGGCAUCGCAGCGGAAGUGUGAAAAAAAAAAACGAUAAGUUAUGAAUAAAGAUUGGUUAAGUAAUAGAACAAGAUUAUGAAAAUUCGAGGACGAAUUUUUAUAAGGGGGGAAGAUUGUAAUAACCUAAAUUUUUGAGGUAUUACGUGUAGAGCCACGAGGCAUAAUCGUAAAGAUUAAGAACGAAAAUAUCGGAUUAGGAUUGGAUAAUAAGGACUUAGACUGAAGCGGGUCUAUUGGAAUUAUGGUAGAAUAAUAAUUUAAAUGGAAAAUUAUUAUGCGAUAAAUUGGAUUUAAUCGAGACAAAAAGGGAAUAAAAUAAAAUAAGUUGGAAAGCCAGAGCUAAUAAUAUUCACGUCAAGGUCCGUGAAAUAUUAUAAAUAAAUGAUUGUCAAAGUUUCGUAAGUAUACGAAAUCGUUUUAGAAGAAAGUUUGAUGAUUAGUUAAGAAUAAGGGUUAAAGUGCAAAUUAGCCACUUUAAGGACUAAAGUGGACUUUUAACCACAAACUUCCGGAGGAAGUUGUGUUUUACUCUAUUUUCUCAAGAUAAGAAAAUAAUAUCGAUAAAGUUGUUAUCAAUAGUCAAUAAAAUAAAAAUUGGACAAAAAAGUGAGAAAAAGUGCAAGUUAGCUCAAAAUGGAAAUUUGAGCGUUUUUGGCCAAAAUUGCAAAAAUAUAUUAUUGGAAAGUGAUAUUAAAAGAUAUGAGACUAAUGUUAUUUAUUUGGGAAAUAUAAUACGUAAUCUAUCGAGAAUCGAAUGAUUAAAAGAUUAGUGCACUAAAUUGUACGAAAGAUAAGCUAGAAAGUGAAGAGAAAGGAGGUGACAACUUCAAGGACCUAAGUGGACUUUUUAUCCACUUAUUAUCAUCUUUUAUGAAUGAAUAAUCAUUCAUUUAAACACAAAAUUUGCAGCAAACCAAAGGUGAAAUCCGUAGCUCUUCAUUUCCAAAUUCUCCAAAAUUUCAAAUGCUCAUAACUUUUUCGUUUCUCAACGAAAUUGAGCGAUUCUUGCGGCCACGGAACGAGGAAAUGAUUAUCUACAGAUAUGUGGCAUCAAUUUAAGUGAGUUUAUAAGGUUGAAUUGGAUGCAAAGUGAGGAUAGAGCUAAGGUUUUCAAGGUGAAAUUGAGCUUGAUUAAAGGAUUUUGAUGAUGAAUUGGAAGGUUGGAUCAUUCGGCCAUGAACUACAACCAAGACUCGAUGAGAUCGACAAGGCUCGGAACUUAGAAGAUUGUGACAUCGCUUAGCCGCUUUAAAGUUUAUGGAUAGCAAGUGGGAUGGUAUGAUAUGAUUUGAAGAGUUAAGCUUCCGAAGUUUUAAUUCUCGGAAGUCAUUUGCACAAGAAGUAAAAGAAGAUUUUCAUUCUCGCGGUCCGCAGUAGUCUAGAUGUUUUUGUCUAUGUAUUUGUAUAACGCAAUUUCACUCUGAUAUUUUUUUUAAAAAUGGGGUCACAUUUAUUUUGAUAUAUGAAAUAUGAUUGGUUUUGCGAAAAAUUUACACAGAUUUUAGGCUUGCUACGGGUUUCGGAGCUACCACUCCCAUUCCCUAGCGCCGGUCGCGACUCAUAAAUUUGGGUCGUGACAGCUAGGUUGCUAGCCUCGAUUUUUUUGUUUGGUUUAAGAGUUGGACAUAAAUUGGAAAACUUAAGUAGUUUUGUAAGUGGUAAAAGUAAAUAGUGUUUUUUAACAAGUAAAAUAAAAAUUAUGAUAAUAAAGUUAAUUAAAAUAAUUAAAAUUUAAGUAGUUUU